rnacentral:rRNA from 1 species
GACGGAGGGUGCAAGCGUUGUUCGGAAUCACUGGGCGUAAAGCGCGUGUAGGCGGUUGAAUAAGUCGGAUGUGAAAGCCCGGGGCUCAACCCCGGAAGUGCAUUCGAAACUGUUCGGCUCGAGUACGGGAGAGGGAAGUGGAAUUCCUGGUGUAGAGGUGAAAUUCGCAGAUAUCAGGAGGAACACCGGUGGCGAAGGCGGCUUCCUGGACCGAUACUGACGCUGAGACGCGAAAGCGUGGGGGAGCAAACAGGAUUAGAUACCCUGGUAGUCCACGCUGUAAACGGUGAGCACUAGGUGUAGCGGGUAUUGACCCCUGCUGUGCCGCAGCUAACGCAUUAAGUGCUCCGCCUGGGGAGUACGGCCGCAAGGCUAAAACUC